UACUAUUUGUUGCAAUUCUGAUGGUGGUUUUUUUUUUCGUCCAAAAGAUAAUAAUAAUAACCACCAUCAGAAUUGCAACAAAUAGUA
rnacentral:miRNA from 1 species